UACGUAGGAGGCGAGCGUUGUCCGGAUUCAUUGGGCGUAAAGAGCACGCAGGCGGUUUGGCAAGUCGGAUGUGAAAACCCGGAGCUCAACUCCGGACCUGCAUCCGAAACUGCCCGACUAGAGGUAGGUAGGGAGAUCGGAAUUCCUGGUGUAGCGGUGAAAUGCGCAGAUAUCAGGAGGAACACCGGUGGCGAAGGCGGCGACCUGGGUCGAGACUGACGCUGAGGCGCGAAAGCGUGGGGAGCAAACAGG
rnacentral:rRNA from 1 species